rnacentral:rRNA from 1 species
UACGGGGGGGGUAAGCGUUGUUCGGAAUUACUGGGCGUAAAGGGCUCGUAGGCGGCCAACUAAGUCAGACGUGAAAUCCCUCAGCUUAACUGGGGAACUGCGUCUGAUACUGGAUGGUUUGGAUUCGGGAGAGGAAUGCGGAAUUCCAGGUGUAGCGGUGAAAUGCGUAGAUAUCUGGAGGAACACCGGUGGCGAAGGCGGCAUUCUGGACCGAUAUUGACGCUGAGGAGCGAAAGCCAGGGGAGCAAACGGG